AGAGUUUGAUCCUGGCUCAGAAUCAACGCUGGCGGCGUGCCUAACACAUGCAAGUCGAACGAGAAAGGGGCUUCGGCCCUGAGUACAGUGGCGCACGGGUGAGUAACACGUGACUAACCUACCCUCGAGCGGGGAAUAACUAAGGGAAACCUUAGCUAAUACCGCAUAAUACCUACGGGUCAAAGGAGUAAUCCACUUGAGGAGGGGGUCGCGGCCGAUUAGUUAGUUGGCGGGGUAAUGGCCCACCAAGACAGUGAUCGGUAUCCGGCCUGAGAGGGCGCACGGACACACUGGAACUGAAACACGGUCCAGACUCCUACGGGAGGCAGCAGUGGGGAAUUUUGCGCAAUGGGGGAAACCCUGACGCAGCAACGCCGCGUGGAGGAUGAAGUCCCUUGGGACGUAAACUCCUUUCGAUCGGGACGAUUAUGACGGUACCGGAAGAAGAAGCCCCGGCUAACUUCGUGCCAGCAGCCGCGGU
rnacentral:rRNA from 1 species